AUUGAACGCUGGCGGAAUGCUUUACACAUGCAAGUCGAACGGCAGCACGGGGGCAACCCUGGUGGCGAGUGGCGAACGGGUGAGUAAUACAUCGGAACGUGCCCAGUCGUGGGGGAUAACGUAGCGAAAGUUACGCUAAUACCGCAUACGAUCUACGGAUGAAAGCGGGGGACCGUAAGGCCUCGCGCGAGUGGAGCGGCAGAUGUCAGAUUAGGUAGUUGGUGAGGUAAAGGCUCACCAAGCCGACGAUCUGUAGCUGGUCUGAGAGGACGACCAGCCACACUGGGACUGAGACACGGCCCAGACUCCUACGGGAGGCAGCAGUGGGGAAUUUUGGACAAUGGGCGCAAGCCUGAUCCAGCCAUUCCGCGUGCAGGACGAAGGCCUUCGGGUUGUAAACUGCUUUUGUACGGAACGAAAAGGCUCUGGUUAAUACCUGGGGCUCAUGACGGUACCGUAAGAAUAAGCACCGGCUAACUACGUGCCAGCAGCCGCCGUAA
rnacentral:rRNA from 1 species